rnacentral:lncRNA from 1 species
ACCUCAAGGAGCACGUCAUCAAGCCCGUAAUCCCUGAGAAGUACCUCGACGAGAAGACCAUCUUCCACCUCAACCCCUCCGGCCGCUUCGUCAUCGGAGGUCCCCACGGCGACGCCGGGCUCACCGGCCGGAAGAUCAUCAUCGACACCUACGGCGGCUGGGGCGCCCACGGAGGCGGCGCCUUCUCCGGGAAGGACCCCACCAAGGUGGACCGCAGCGGGGCCUACAUCGUCCGGCAGGCGGCCAAGAGCGUGGUGGCCGGCGGGCUCGCGAGGCGGUGCAUCGUCCAGGUCUCCUACGCCAUCGGCGUGCCCGAGCCCCUCUCCGUGUUCGUGGACUCGUACGGCACUG